rnacentral:rRNA from 1 species
UACGUAGGGGGCAAGCGUUGUCCGGAAUCAUUGGGCGUAAAGAGCGCGUAGGCGGCCCAGUAAGUCCGCUCUGAAAGUCAGGGGCUCAACCCCUGGAUGCGGGUGGAUACUGCUGGGCUAGAGUCCGGAAGAGGCGAGUGGAAUUCCUGGUGUAGCGGUGAAAUGCGCAGAUAUCAGGAAGAACACCCGUGGCGAAGGCGGCUCUCUGGUACGUGACUGACGCUGAGACGCGAAAGCGUGGGGAGCAAACAGG